rnacentral:rRNA from 1 species
UACGGAGGGUGCAAGCGUUAUCCGGAUUCACUGGGCGUAAAGGGUGCGUAGGCGGGUCUUUAAGUCAGAGGUGAAAUCCUGGAGCUCAACUCCAGAACUGCCUUUGAUACUGAGGAUCUUGAGUACGGGAGAGGUGAGUGGAACUGCGAGUGUAGAGGUGAAAUUCGUAGAUAUUCGCAAGAACACCAGUGGCGAAGGCGGCUCACUGGCCCGUUACUGACGCUGAGGCACGAAAGCGUGGGGAGCAAACAGG